rnacentral:rRNA from 1 species
GACAGAGGAUGCAAGCGUUAUCCGGAAUGAUUGGGCGUAAAGCGUCUGUAGGUGGCUUUUUAAGUCCGCCGUCAAAUCCCAGGGCUCAACCCUGGACAGGCGGUGGAAACUACCAAGCUGGAGUAUGGUAGGGGUAGAGGGAAUUUCCAGUGGAGCGGUAGAAAUGCGUAGAUAUUGGAAAAGACCACCGAUGGCGAAGGCACUCUACUGGGCCAUUACUGACACUGGAGAAGACGAAAGCUAGGGGAGCAAAUGGG